rnacentral:snoRNA from 1 species
AGCCUGUGAUGAAAAAUAAAUUGUGAAUGAAUUCUGAUUAUUUUCCACCAAGAUCUCUGAGGCU